rnacentral:rRNA from 1 species
CCUACGGGUGGCUGCAGUGGGGAAUAUUGGACAAUGGGGGCAACCCUGAUCCAGCCAUGCCGCGUGUGUGAAGAAGUCCCUCGGGUUGUAAAGCACUUUCAGUGAGGAAGAACGCCUGGUGGUUAAUACCCAUCAGGAAAGACAUCACUCACAGAAGAAGCACCGGCUAACUCCGUGCCAGCAGCCGCGGUAAUACGGAGGGUGCGAGCGUUAAUCGGAAUUACUGGGCGUAAAGCGCGCGUAGGUGGCUUGAUAAGCCGGUUGUGAAAGCCCCGGGCUCAACCUGGGAACGGCAUCCGGAACUGUCAAGCUAGAGUGCAGCAGAGGAAGGUAGAAUUGCCGGUGUAGCGGUGAAAUGCGUAGAGAUCGGGAGGAAUACCAGUGGCGAAGGCGGCCUUCUGGACUGACACUGACACUGAGGUGCGAAAGCGUGGGUAGCAAACAGGAUUAGAUACACUGGUAGUC